UACCAGCACCCCGAGUGGUCGGGACGAUUAUUGGGCCUAAAGCAUCCGUAGCCGGUCCUACAAGUCUUCCGUUAAAUCCAGCUGCUUAACAGAUGGGCUGCGGAGGAUACUACAGGGCUAGGAGGCGGGAGAGGCAAGCGGUACUUUAUGGGUAGGGGUAAAAUCCGUUGAUCCAUAGAAGACCACCAGUGGCGAAGGCGGCUUGCCAGAACGCGCUCGACGGUGAGGGAUGAAAGCUGGGGGAGCAAACCGG
rnacentral:rRNA from 1 species